rnacentral:rRNA from 1 species
CCUACGGGAGGCAGCAGUGAGGAAUAUUGGUCAAUGGACGAGAGUCUGAACCAGCCAAGUAGCGUGAAGGAUGACUGCCCUAUGGGUUGUAAACUUCUUUUAUAUGGGAAUAAACUGUUCCACGUGUGGGCUUUUGUAUGUACCCUAUGAAUAAGGAUUGGCUAACUCCGUGCCAGCAGCCGCGGUAAUACGGAGGAACCGAGCGUUAUCCGGAUUUAUUGGGUUUAAAGGGAGCGUAGGUGGAUUGUUAAGUCAGUUGUGAAAGUUUGCGGCUCAACCGUAAAAUUGCAGUUGAAACUGGCAGUCUUGAGUACAGUAGAGGUGGGCGGAAUUCGUGGUGUAGCGGUGAAAUGCUUAGAUAUCACGAAGAACUCCGAUUGCGAAGGCAGCUCACUGGACUGCAACUGACACUGAGGCUCGAAAGUGUGGGUAUCAAACAGGAUUAGAUACCCGAGUAGUC